rnacentral:rRNA from 1 species
GUAGUCUCGCACAGAUGCAUAUCAAUAAGCGGAGGAAAAGAAACUAACAAGGAUUCCCCUAGUAACGGCGAGUGAAGCGGGAAGAGCUCAAAUUUGAAAUCUUAAAGGGUUUCCCUUUACGAAUUGUAGUUUAAAGAAGUGUUUUCUGUUGAGGUUUUGGUAAAAGUUCUUUGGAAUAGGACAUCAUAGAGGGUGAGAAUCCCGUAUUUGACCUUUACUUUCAACUUUGUGAUACACUUUCAAAGAGUCGGAUUGUUUGGGAAUGCAGUCCAAAAUGGGUGGUAAAUUUCAUCUAAAGCUAAAUAUUGGCGAGAGACCGAUAGCGAACAAGUACCGUGAGGGAAAGAUGAAAAGAACUUUGAAAAGAGAGUUAAACAGUACGUGAAAUUGUCAAAAGGGAAGCGUUUGACACCAGUGUUGUUUUUCUGAAAAUCAAUUAAAGAACUGUUUAUGCUAAGUUGUUUAGACUUUAUCAGCUAACUGUUUAGUUUUGAGCUUUUCUUUAAUGCACUUUUCAGUUAACAAGUCAACAUCAAUUUCUUUUGCUGUAAAAAAGCUUGAGGAAGGUGGCUUGAGAUUCGUCUUAAGUGUUUAUAGCCUCUUGCCUAUGCAGUCGGAGAGAUUGAGGUCUGCAGCGUAGAUCCCUCGGGGCUAAAUGCAUUUGUGCUAAGUUAUAGCAUUUCAUAGACAACUUGUUGACUAUGAUUUGUCUUGUAGCUUACUCGCUUAUGUUAUUUUACCUACGCUUAGGAUGUUGAUCUGUAGUGCGUGCGC